GAGUCGAGCUUAAGCGAGCUUAUCUUAGCUCAAGCUUAGCCUGAAAUUAAUUUUGAGCCUAAAUUUAGGCUCAAGCUCGGCUUAAAAUUAACUCGAGCUAAGCUCAAGCAAGUCUAACUUUAAGUCGAGUGAGCUCAAGCCCUAAACGAGCUAAUUGAAAUUCUUAACAUCAUGCGAUCUAUAGUUUAAUUUUUAUAAAAUAUUAUCAAAAAUUUGAUACAAAAAAUUGUCUAAUAGUUCAACAUACAAAAUGAAUACAUGAAAUAGGAUUUCGAUAAUAUUAAAAAAAAUAGGGGAAGUGACUUUGAGAGCAAAUGAAAGAGAGAAAGAGCAAUUAGAAUAGGUUUUGUUGGUUUGAUUUUGUAGACCAGUAAAUAUGCCGAAUAACCUAAACUCUAUAGGCAUAUAAUUAAAAAACAUAAUAUACAUGAUUAUAUGUAAUUAAAAUAUAUAUUAUAUAUAAUGAAUUUGGCUGGAAUAUUAUUAAUAGUACCAAGUCAUUGGUGCCAUAUUAGGUUUUCAGCCCUUAGAUGAAAAAAAUAUAUGGUUAAGAUAAUAGUAAUCUUUGGUUAGAUUGAUAGUGGUCCCAUAGGAUUGAGUGGGUGGCUGGUUAAAUUUUACAAUCUAACAGUUAAAAAUGAUGAAAGAGAUAAAUCUAACAGCAGAAAAUUCGGUAAUACCAAGCGUUUGGUGCUAUCUAUAGUAUACCAGGCAGACUAUAUAUAUAUAUAUAUAUAUAUAUAU
rnacentral:lncRNA from 1 species